rnacentral:tRNA from 1 species
GCUCCCGUAGCCCAAUCGGCAGAGGCAGACGGCUUAAACCCGUCCCAGUGUGGGUUCGAGCCCCACCGGGAGCACCG